AGGAGACGUUGCCCUUCGGGGUAUACCUCCCACCCUUUGUUUAUUAUACCUUUGUUGCUUUGGCGGGCCCGUCCUCGGACCACCGGCUUCUGCUGGUCAGUGCCCGCCAGAGGACCUAAAACUCUGUUUGUUAAUAUUGUCUGAGUACUAUAUAAUAGUUA
rnacentral:misc_RNA from 1 species